CACGUAGUGUGCAAGCGUUGUCCGGAAUCAUUGGGCGUAAAGAGCUCGUAGGCGGCUUAGUAAGUCGGGUGUGAAAACCCCAGGCUCAACCUGGGGACGCCACCCGAUACUGCUAUAGCUAGAGUCCAGUAGGGGAGUGUGGAAUUCCCAGUGUAGCGGUGAAAUGCGCAGAUAUUGGGAGGAACACCAGCGGCGAAGGCGGCACUCUGGGCUGGUACUGACGCUGAGGAGCGAAAGCGUGGGUAGCGAACAGG
rnacentral:rRNA from 1 species